UGCACGCGGGGAAUGUUGGGAGAAUACGAGAGAAGCGUAUUCUCCCAACGCUUCUCGAGUAUUCUCACAACAUUCGCCGAGUGCA